GUCCAGACUCCUACGGGAGGCAGCAGUGGGGAAUAUUGCACAAUGGGGGAAACCCUGAUGCAGCGACGCCGCGUGAGCGAUGAAGUAUUUCGGUAUGUAAAGCUCUAUCAGCAGGGAAGAAGAUGACGGUACCUGACUAAGAAGCCCCGGCUAACUACGUGCCAGCAGCCGCGGUAAUACGUAGGGGGCAAGCGUUAUCCGGAUUUACUGGGUGUAAAGGGAGCGUAGACGGCGAUGCAAGCCAGAUGUGAAAGCCCGGGGCUCAACCCCGGGACUGCAUUUGGAACUGUGUGGCUGGAGUGUCGGAGAGGCAGGCGGAAUUCCUAGUGUAGCGGUGAAAUGCGUAGAUAUUAGGAGGAACACCAAUGGCGAAGGCGGCCUGCUGGACGAUGACUGACGUUGAGGCUCGAAAGCGUGGGGAGCAAACAGGAUUAGAUACCCGCGUAU
rnacentral:rRNA from 1 species